rnacentral:rRNA from 1 species
CAGUCGCCGCGGUAAUACGGAGGGUGCAAGCGUUAAUCGGAAUUACUGGGCGUAAAGCGCACGCAGGCGGUCUGUCAAGUCAGAUGUGAAAUCCCCGGGCUUAACCUGGGAACUGCAUUUGAAACUGGCAGGCUAGAGUCUUGUAGAGGGGGGUAGAAUUCCAGGUGUAGCGGUGAAAUGCGUAGAGAUCUGGAGGAAUACCGGUGGCGAAGGCGGCCCCCUGGACAAAGACUGACGCUCAGGUGCGAAAGCGUGGGGAGCAAACAGGAUUAGAUACCCGCGUAGUCCCUGUCUCUUAUAC